AGAUUUAAACACAUAUCAAAACAAUCUCCAUGUACCUAUCUUAUGACAACAGAUAAUCCAAAGCAGUGCCCUGAUCCCACACAUUCCCCUCCCCUCAUGUGCUGGCUGUGUUCAGCCACCAGAGAAAAACACAGGCUACCACGCAGAGCGUUCCAAGUGGUUUCCACUUUGGCAAACAGCACUCUCUGGAUGGAAAACACCAGUCAAAGCCAAAACACUCCUUGUUGAUCCUGAUUAACUGAAUGCAGCUGCUGCUGCCUUAACUUGUUCUCACAAAACUUCUCAGGGUUUCUUUGCUUCCAGGAGGCCCCACAUGUCCCAAUGGACCCUUGAUUCCAUGGGGUUCCAAACUGUCUCAGGAAUACUUUGGUUCCAUGAGGCCCUGCAUAUCCUGAUGGCCCCUGGGUUCCAUGAGGAUGCACAGUCUCAGAAUUCCUUGGCUUCAGUGAGGCUUUGUAGUGUCCCAAUGGCCCCUUGACUCCAGGAGUUUCCAUAGUGUCCCAAUGGCCCCUUGGUUCCAUGAGGCCCUGCAGUGUCCUAAUGGCCUCCUGAUUGCACAAGGUUUUCCAGUGUCCCAGUGUUCCUUUUGUUCCAUGAGGGUCCACGGGGUCCCUUUGGGGCCAUAAGGCCUGUAAGGGAGAUAUUUUGAAUUAGAUGAUCAAUGGAGCAUAGAGGCAUGAGAAAGAAAUUAUAUUAUGAUGUGAAACCAUCCAGAGUAUUGUACAAUGUGCUUUUUAGCAAGUCAACUUGAUAUCCCCUAUUAUCAGAGCUGAGUUCUUCCUUGGUUUUGCUACAUACUGCCAGAUGGAUACAUCUACGCUUGAAACACAAUUGUAGAGGUCGUCCAUAGGAGUGAGAAAGAUGAUGGAAGAUUAUGUGGGCAGGGGUUGCUCGCCCCUUGCCCUACAGCAGGGCAUGCACAGACUGUUGCUAUCAGGUGAUGAACAGGUGAGGUUUGGCUGCCACUCAGACAUCACCUUACGCUGGGUACUGGCCCUGCAUGGUGUAAUGUAGAGCUGAUAAAAUGGGGUGUCAGGACUGCUGGGGUGAGUGAUACUUAUCCUGCCACCGAGACUGUGUUGUUCCGCAGGGAUGCCCGCUAAGCACGGGCACUGACCAGCUGCUGCAGAUCCUGGCAGCCCUGGCCUGUCUGUGUGGGUAAACACAGUUUAUGGAUAGGAAGCAACCGAGAAAGCAAAUUUUUUAAUAUCCUUUUAGUGUCCCUUUAAUUCUCCUUUUAUUAAUUAAUAUUGUUACAUAAAUAAGCUGUCUAUAGUAUUUCUCUUUAAUUUCCCUUUCUACUAACCAAUAUCAUGUUAAUAGUUAUUCGUAAUAUUGUGUUAAGAUGCUUUUUUGGUAUCCCUUUAACUCCCUUUUUACUAGGCAAUACGGUAUUAAAUGCUGUUCACAGUAUUUGUUUUAAUGCCACUCGAUAAGGUAGUUAUUUUGUAUUCUUUUUAGUUUUUUGAUUCUCUUUGCUAAGAUUAUUAUUAUUAUUACUCUCACUGUAAUAAAAGAUAUUUUGUGUGUUUGAA